rnacentral:tRNA from 1 species
GCCGUCUUAGCUCAGUCGGUAGAGCACCUGACUUGUAAUCACGAGGUCCCCGGUUCGACCCCGGGAGACGGCU